GGAGCCAUAUCCCAUGUCAAAUAAUGAAUUACAAGUUAUGUUUUUACUUCUUCAAACCACGCUCUUAUCAUGCUUUUCCGUCUUUGCAGCACUUUCAAGCUGAACAACACGACUCUGUCAUGUUUCAGAUACUCCCUUCAACGCCCUAACCUAUCUUCUUCCUACUUCAUAGUUUUUACCUUCAGCAUGACUCUAUAUGCACUAGCCUUUCCAUCCUAGUUUGCCUAUACUCCUUUGCAAAAGAAGCAAGCACAAUAUUGAACUAAGGCAAAAUUUUAUAAAAUUCAUUUGUAUAUAAGAGAUGGACAAAAUUGAAGGGUUCCCGCACUUAAAAUCCAGAGAAAAUUAUAUCAUUUUCAAAGUUACAAACCAAAAAUCCAUUAAACAAGAAAACAAAUUUCCACCAAGAAAUUUGCAAAGCAUACCAAAAUCACUGAAAUUUAACAGUUUAUUAAGCAACACACAAGACUUCAAGAAAAUGUACAUGUAUUUCUGAUGUAAGUGAACCUAGAAAGCCUAAAUCCAACACUAAAAAGAAAAGCUACAUAUGACCGGAGACACAGAGAGCAUGAAAGAAUACAAGGGACAAUGCAAAUUAGAUAAGCUUGAAAGGGAGAGGCCAAGGGGUGGACCUGGGGACCUCAACUUUGUCCUUGAUGCGUUCAAUCUUCUUGUCCUUCUUGGGCCUCGAGUUUCCGUACGAUCCCUUGAAUCUCUUCCCUCUCUUUGUCCUCUUAUCCCCUCUCCCGCACAGGAUUGGCGCCACCCCAACUCUUGUUGCCGGCUGAGCAGCCAACACCCGCCUCGCUACAGCGCCGCACCACUGCAUCGUCGCCAUUACUGUUUUUCACACACAAGCUGAGUGAAAGACGAGAGAUAGGGAGUGGAGGCUAUAGUUGUUAUUUCGAAGUGGUUUCCUAUAUGAUGGACCGGGUCGGGUUAAGACGACGGAUAGACCAAUAUGGGCUUAUGGAAGGCCCAUUUUCAGAGCAGAAGGUUUUUGGAAGGUUGCUGUGACUGGAUACGGUGGAGUUUUAGCUGGUGUGGCUCCAAAUCAAACACGAUGAUCACUGAUCAACAAAAGGAUUUUCUUUCUUCUUCUCUAAUGUCUUUAUAGCAUACCCCUGAGACACAAAGAUUAGUUGAAAAUACAAACCAAAAUUUUGGCAGCUAAAGCAAUGGAGGUGUUAUGCAGGGCCACUGCUUUAACAUGGACUCACUCCAUCUCUCCUCCUUUCCUUCACAUUCCUCAAGCCUUCUCUAAGCUUGAUACGAGGAGAUUAACUGUAUCGUGUGCCUCUGAUAAAACCCAAAAGGGAAGUCAGAUGACUGUAUCGGUAACAGGAGCUACAGGUUUUAUAGGUAGAAGAUUGGUGCAAAGACUGCAUGCAGAUAACCACUAUAUUCAUGUCUUGACACGUUCCAGAUCUAAAGCAGAGUUAAUAUUUCCGGUCAAGGACUUCCCUAGAAUUGUGAUCGCCGAGGAGCCAAAAUGGAAAGACAGCAUUCAAGGCUCAAAUGCUGUUGUAAAUUUGGCUGGAAUGCCUAUCAAUACAAGAUGGUCUCCUGAGGUUAGUAUUGCAGGUUCAUUGGGUAGCCUGCAAAGAAGUUCCAUGCUGCAUGAAGAUACAAUUUGCAUAUUACAUAAAAAUGUCACUUGUUACUAGUUGUUAGAUAAAUGGUGGUUCACAUGAUUUCUCUCACAAUCCUGUAUACAAUCCGCUUUUUUAUGCCAAUACUAGUCUUCUUUUGCAAUUAAAUGACUAUUUCUUGGGAGAUUGAUCUAUUUUUCAUUAGGAUUUGCAUAAAUUUGUUACUGAAAAGCUGAGUGUAAUUUAUCAUAAAUCUUUUUUUUACUGUUAAAGUGAUGCCAUAAAAGGUCAUAUGGGUUUAAUACACCACACAUUUGCAUUUUGUUCACAUGAUACUACAUGAGAAGAAAUUUCUUUAAAAGGUUAUCUAUGGAACAAUGCAGACUCUUACUUUUAUAUAAUAUGGUAAAUUGCAAAAACCCCGACAUUGAAUGAAAUACACACCUGUAUUCUCACUUUUUAAAAAGUGAGUUAAAUAUUCCUUGAUUUUUGAAAAAGAUAUACACAUUAAUCAUUUCAUUACAUUUUAUUCUCUCACCUUUUAGGUAAAAUAAUUUUUUAGAUUAAACGACAUGUUAGUCCAACUUGUUUUAACUUUUUAGGGAUUGAGAAGUAGUUUUACUUGGAAAUCAAAGGAUUGAAAUUUUGUUCAAAGUAAAAACAUAGGAACUAGAGUAUACACUUGUUAGUUGGGAUAUGAACCAUCUUUACAAAUGAUCUAAAUAUUUGUUGUCAUGUACUCGCAAAUAUACAUGACUAACAGUAUAUGAUGCAAAACACAUUUUCUUUUAUCGCUGCAUUUUUCUGCAGUGAAUCUGAAUCAGUACCAUGUAUAGGUGGAAAAUGUCAUGUUCCCAUUUACCCUCAAAAGAAGGCAUACAUAAAUCUAUUACUGUAUUGCAGAUAAAGAAAGAGAUUAAAAAAAGCAGGAUCAGAGUCACCUCAAAGGUAAGGAAUUAUUUUCUUUCUCACUCUCUUAGAAGCUCCUGCCCCACCCCCAAAAGCACACUUUUUCUCCUCACCUGGAAGAAGCAUUACUUAAUCUGAACAUCAAUAAAUAGGUUUAGAAUCUCUCUACAGUUUAUUCAUUUAACCACUUUGACUGAUUUUGAAGGUUAUAGAUUUAAUAAAUGAUUCACCAGAUGAAAUUCGGCCUACAGUUCUGGUCAGUGCAACAGCUGUCGGUUACUACGGUUUGUUCUAACACAACUUCCUCAUUUUUUUGCUUAUCAUGGUUGAUAAAAAAACCUCUUUGUUUCAUUUGCAAUAUUAAUUGAUUCAUCCCGGUCUAUCACCUGUCUUUUAAUAUAAUUCUAGUAAUUUUAAGAAAUUAAAUUGGAAUUUUGAAUUUUAUAGGGAACAGAUCAUGGAACAUUUGCUUUGAUAUGAAGAUUCUAGAAUUUGAUUAUCUAGACUAUGGAUGGUUUAUGGCUCGAGUAACCCUCCUUUGGUUCUUUUCUUUCUGUUUUUCCCCUUUUUGUUCUUUUCCUCCCCAGGAAGUAGUGAAACACAAGUAUUUGAUGAGCGCAGUCCAUCUGGAAAUGACUACUUGGCUGAGGUAAAAUAGAAAUGAUCUAAUGCCUUUAGUUUCUGCAUUAUUUGACUUCCAUAUAAGCUUUUGAAGUUGAUGUUUUGAAUGGCGUGAUGUGAACUACCAAGAUUUCUUUGACUGUUUGACAUCAUAUAGUUACAUAGAUUAAUUACGUCAAAAUAUGUUAAUGUAUUUAGUAUUUAUCAAUUUGUAAGUUUUGUUGAUAACACGACUAACAGCAUAGAAUUUUACCUAUUGGAGAAUUACUUAGAUGUCAUGUAUUCAUCACAAAGUGUUACUGUAGUCUAUGACACCCCCUCUUUUCUUUCUCCUCCUUCCCCCUUGUUUCUAUUAAAGAACAAUCAUGUAUUUUUAAAUCUGUCAAUGGUCGAAAAAAUAUUUCAAUUAUUUAAUAAAGUUUCUGAAUUUUAAUUUUUUUGGUCAAGUUUUAUUCGUCUUGUUUUAUGCAAUAUUUAAUUUUUUAUGUUUUCCACACAGCCAAGGGAGGACGGAAGUGGGGACUAGGGGUGAUAUAUUCAUAUAUUUAUAUUUAUAAGAAAGAAAGAAAUCCACUUUAUUUUAAUUAUUGGCCUCUCAAUAAUAAUUUAUAUUUUUUAUUAUAUUAUAGAUAAUGCGAAAUAUUAACAACACUUAUCUCAUCAAAUAUCCAAUAAAUUUUACUAACAUUGGCUCUCUCAAUUUUUUUUUUUAAUUUAUAGCUUAAGUACUCUAUUAUAGUAUUUUUUGAAUAUAUAAUAUUGGCCUCUCAAAAUAUAUAGAUAAUAAGAGUAAACCAAUUUUUGAAUCAAUUUUUAUGUACAGCAUUGCCCCCCUCAAAAAAGAAAAAAAUUUUCUAGCUCCAUCCCUGCACACAGCUGUAUAUGAUUGGGAAAAUUUUACUUCCAUAGGAUUGUGAUUGACUAGGGGAUGAGGGACUAGGUGAUUACGCCAUAUGGGAGAAUCCUACUCUCCCUUUUGAGUGAAUUGGAAUGAGAUAUGUGCAUUAUUGACAUCAAUAAUUGGAUUGAAGCAUUCUUAUCUGAUUUGCAUGGCAUUUUGGCUUUAACAUACCAACCCUUUGAAUACACUUAUGCAGGAAGUCUAUCAUAAUUCUGUUUACACUUGGUAAUAUCUAUACAUAUGAAAAUGACAAAAGACUCCAAAGCCUCAUGUUGUUCACCUUUGUUCAUAAGGUCUAUAUUGCAAAUGCAUUGCUUGCUGUCAUGCAACUUUCUGUAGACUGAAAUAUUAGAGGCAUAGAUCAAAAUGUAAUAAAAGAUAAAUAAAUAAAUAAAAAGAAGGUUUAUCUAAUGGGAACAAAAUUUCUGAAACAUGAUUUAACCUUAGGUUCCAUCUUUGCAGUCAUGAAAUCUCAAUUUCUUUGAUCUUCUGCUAACAAACUAUGUCUCUUCAGGUCUGUAGAGAAUGGGAAGCAACAGCCCUUAAAGUCAAUAAGGAUGUGAGAUUAGCACUUAUUCGCAUUGGUGUUGUUCUUGGAAAAGAUGGGGGUGCUUUAGGUAUCAUAAUUGAUUUUCCGAGUCCCUAAAUUUUUGUGUUUGGGUGCUUAACAUCUUAAUAUCUAGGAAUAGAGAGAUAGGGAGGGAGAAGAAUAAGUGAUUUUUCGUUCUAGCAGUUUUUACUUGAUAGAUAAUCAGCUUCUAAACAAAAUGGAGACAAUUUCCAAGUGUUAUAAUUUGAAUAUAGGUUUGUUGUGUCAUGAAACACAUCUUGUCAGAGGGAUACUCCUAAAGUCAUUCAGAUUAAUUUGGCCAUUUUUGCUUUAUCAUCUGUAAUACUAUCAGGAAGAAACUCCUUCAAUUGAUUAAAUUCUUUCAAUCAUCUAAGGAAAGCCUUUAUCUCUUAGUUACUUGGGUUGGAUUACAUCUAGUAGAGUGACGAUAUACAAAUCUGUGAGCAAUACACUCUUGGAUAGGUUGCUUUGGUGCUAUAUGCACACUUACAUCUUUGAUCCUUUGCAGCAAAAAUGAUCCCUCUCUUCAUGAUGUUUGCUGGUGGACCCGUGGGCUCAGGACGACAAUGGUAUGUUACUAGUAGUACACAGGAAGAGAGCAACACAUACUACUAAAGUAAAGCAUGAGGCUUUCCUCUUCCAUUUGAAUUAUGAUAUUGCUGCGGCUGCAGGUUUUCUUGGAUUCACUUGGAUGACAUAGUAAACCUAAUCUAUGAAGCUGUAUCAAAUCCUUCUUAUAAAGGAGUAAUCAAUGGAACUGCACC
rnacentral:misc_RNA from 1 species